UGAAACUUAUAACGGCUACCUGAAGUAAGUUUUUUUAUAAACGGAGCA
ncrna:unclassified sequences SAM/SAH riboswitch